rnacentral:tRNA from 1 species
GAGGGUAGAGCUCAGUGGUGAGCAUGUGCUUAGCAUGCACAAGGUCCUGGGUUCAAUCCCCAGUACCCUCU